GACUUUCCUUUGAGUAGACGUGUAGGAUUGAAUUGUCAAGCUGCAUGAGAGACAUGCUUUCAUGUUUAAGUUAACUGUUAAUACGUCUUUAAAGCUUGUAGCUUUACAUAUUUCUUUUUGUAACUGAAAAGAAGAGUUGACGGGGGAAAUGUUCACAGUCAUGUUGUAAUAAUAGCUGUCUACUGUUUUAAAAUGCACAUUUUGUAAUAUGAAUUUGAAGGGGCUUUGUCAUCUUAAAUCUGCCAAGAUUCUUUACUGUUACUAUUUUUUAAGGCAUAAAGAAGAGAGUUAAUUAAGCAGCUGUGGGUUUGGAAGGGGGUUGUGUAAUUCUUUUUAUUGAGUUAUAAUAUUAUAUCAGGUCCAUAAUACAUAGAGUGCUAAAAAUGAACUGAAAAAUAUUAACAUAAUAAAAGAAAAACAAUUGCAGUGCAGAUUAAAGUAAGAAUUUAUCUUUUUGGGAUCAUUUCAGAUGUAUGAUAAUUAAAAUGUCUCUAACAAAAUUAAAUAAUAAUUCUGUUUCAUAUUACAGUUCCAGGAUGUAGAGGCACAUAAGGAGGAGAAAUGACCAAAGGAAAACAAGAAUUUAAGAAACUCAGAUCAACUAGAUCCAUUAAAAAGCUGGAGGUGGAAAGCUCCAUUGUCCCUGAGUAUUAACAUGGAUGCUUGGCCAUGAUACUACCAGGAGGAGAGUUUUAGGAUCAACAUCCAGGGCCACACUCAGCAGAAUGAGCAAGAGGACCCCCAAACACAGCAUAUUUAGAAUUUCCUGGUCUGAAACCACUGGAAGCUCCAGGUCAUCGUUUCUUUUCCUGUAGACGACUCGUGAGAUCAGAGUUAUGAGAAACAUUUCCAUAAUGAGCAGCUGUUGGUCCAUAUCUGGUAAAUCGAAAGAGAACAAAAGAGCAAGAGGUUUAAGGACCAGGAAUGAAAAUAAGGAUCAACAGAGUGGAUGUUGCAGUCCAUCUACUCCAAACCCAUGCUCAGUGCAGAGAAUCCAGAGCUAGAGCAUCUGCAAAAGAUGGCUGUCCAAUCUCUGCAUCUUAGAAGAAUUCCAAGGCAGCAAUCGGUCCAGAUAUGCAGUAUGUUCUACAGCUGACAAGCCUCAUCACACAGAUCUCCAGC